rnacentral:rRNA from 1 species
AGGGUGACCGGCCACACUGGGACUGAGACACGGCACAGACUCCUACGGGAGGCAGCAGUGGGGAAUAUUGGACAAUGGGCGAAAGCCUGAUCCAGCAACGCCGCGUGAGGGAUGACGGCCUUCGGGUUGUAAACCUCUUUCAGCGCRGACGAAGCKAAAGUGACGGUAUGCGCAGAAGAAGCACCGGCCAACUACGUGCCAGCAGCCGCGGUAAUACGUAGGGUGCGAGCGUUGUCCGGAAUUAUUGGGCGUAAAGGGSUCGUAGGCGGUCUGUCGCGUCAGGAGUGAAAACUCGGGGCUCAACCCCGAGCCUGCUUCUGAUACGGGCAGACUAGAGGUAUGCAGGGGAGAACGGAAUUCCUGGUGUAGCGGUGAAAUGCGCAGAUAUCAGGAGGAACACCGGUGGCGAAGGCGGUUCUCUGGGCAUUACCUGACGCUGAGGAGCGAAAGUGUGGGGAGCGAACAGGAUUAGAUACCCUGGUAGUCCACWCCGUAAACGUUGGGCGCUAGGUGUGGGGSUCAUUCCACGAGUUCCGUGCGCAGCUAACGCAUUAAGCKCCCCGCCUGGGGAGUAC